UCGACCCCCCCCCUCCCCUUUGGGGACACCUAGUGUGGCGCCAGGCCUCCUCCAGAAUCAGGAAUUCUGUAAGGUCAAGCAGAAUCCUGCCAAGCCGGGACAAGCAACAGAGCAGAGAGGCACAGCCCCUCUGGAAGACUAUACGGCGAGUCCUUAGACAAACAGAAGCGGAGUUACACUAUGAUCCAGAAAUACCACUCUUCAGAAUUGAUCCAAAAGAACUGCAAACACUAAUUCAAAGAGAUCUACGUACUUGUAUGCUGUGCCAGUGACUGAUUGCAGGUGCAGAAAGAGGUCGAGUCAGUGGAUUGAUCCCUUGCAUCUGGUAAAGUGUGUACUCUACUGGGUUCCAGAUGCCAGCAUGAUGCCUAUCAGACUUCUCUGGACAGACAACCCCGCCAAUGUGUCCUGGAGCUCAGCUUCCCCAGAGACCCACCCUACUAGGGAAAG